rnacentral:rRNA from 1 species
AGUGAACGCUGGCGGUAUGCCUAACACAUGCAAGUCGAACGGCAGCACAGUAAGAGCUUGCUCUUACGGGUGGCGAGUGGCGGACGGGUGAGGAAUACAUCGGAUUCUUCUUUUUCGUGGGUGAUAACGUAGGGAAACUUCCGCUAAUACCGCAUACAUCCUACGGGUGAAAGCAGGGGUUCGUCGGACCUUUCGCGAUGGUAAGAGCCGAGGUCGGAUUAGCUUGUUGGCUGGGUAAGGGCCCACCAAGGCGACGCUACGAAGCUGGUCUGAGGGGAUGAUCCGCCACACUGGAACGGGGACACGGUCCAACACCCUACGGGAGGCAGCGGUGGGAAAUAUAGGACAAUGGGCAGAGGCCUGAUCCAGACAUACCGCGUAGGUGAAGAAGGCCUUCGAGUUGUAAAGCCCUUUUGUUGGGAAAUAAAAGCGGCCGGUUAACCCCGCGCUGUUUGAACGUAACCCAAAGAAUAGGCACCGGUUAAUUUGGU